ACUGCCCCUAGAGGCAUUGCAGGUGUGGCUGCUGUGUCACGUUUGUGUCAUUAGGGGCAAAGAGAAGAGAGGCUUGUCCAUAGCCAGUGCUCUGGCCCGUGGGUGUCUGGAUGGUGGAUAGUCUGACACU